GCCGGAGGCGGGCCCUUGUCUUCGCCGCCGCUCCUGCACCCUGUGCUCCCUGAAGCCGCCGCCUUCAGAACGCUCAGCCCCUGGAUGUUAAGGCUCACUCGGGCGCCAGCCGCAGCCAGGGAAGUGGCGGCGGUCCCCACCCGUCCUCUCCCCAAGGCGGCGCCCGGGCCACCGGGCCGAAGCGCAGUGGGAGCGCGAGGCUGAGACGCCGGGACCCACGCCGCCCCAGCGCGGCCCGCCGGCGCCCACCCGAGCCCGCACGGCUUCCAGCCCGAGGGGAGACGCAUUCGAGUGAUCACCAGGAGCGAACUUGGCGCCCGCAGCCUUGGGCCUGGGAGAGGUGAGAUUGCGGCGGCGCCCUCUCCUCCCUCCGCUGUCGGGCCCGCCACCCCUCUCCGCGCGGAGAGGCCGGGCAGAGCGCCGGCCGCUGUGGCCGCGUUCCCGGGGCGCGGGCCGGUCUACUGCUCCGAGUUUGCCUGUUCUCCGACCCUCUGGAUCUCGGCAUCCGUUUGUCUCAGUCUCUGUGACUAUCUCACUCUCCGUGAGUCUCUGUGGAAACGGCAUUUGUCUGGAUGUCUGUUCAUGGGUCUGGGAAUCCGCUUAAUUUCUCCCUCCCCUCUCCCUGGCCCCAGUUGCCCUGAGGACUGGACACCCCCCACCUUCCUGGCUCCCAGGGUUCUGGGCCCCACCGACAGGCGGCAGGACCUCCUCCGCCCCCUGCCCGACACCCCCUCAGUGAACCCUGACCUCCACCAAGUGUUGCCUUCAUCUCUCAAAAGUCUUGUGCAACUAAGGUUGGCCCUGUGCCUUGUUUCUCGCUAGCCGGGUUCCUGCCCAUCCUAUUAGACCUCUUUCUCCCCCGGCCUCCCUCCAGGACCCAGAAACAAGCAGCUUCAACACAGAUUGGGCCCAUUUCAGCCUCUGGGGCACGGAAGGGGAGAUGGGCGCUGGACGUGAGCAGGAACUGAGCGGAUGCCUGGGCUGCUGCCCCGACAGCGCCGCACAGUGGCUAAAGCUCGGGCGUGCGAGGCCGGAAUCCCAGCUGCCUCCGCUGUAGCAAGGCUGUGUGACCCUCAUUAGGUGACUUCCCCGCUUCGGAGCCUCAGUUUCCUGGUCUGCAUAGUAGUUAAGAGCAGCGACCUUAAGUCAGGCUCCUGGGGUUCCAAUCCUGCCUUCACUACUUACCCUAUCUGUCACCUUGGGCAAGGUUCUUUGCGCUUUGUUUCUGCCUUUGUAAAAAUGAGGCUAGUAACACCUACCUCAGAACUGAUGUAUAAGUGUAGCCAUAUUCUAGGCCAUUUAGGAAAGGGUACUGAGAACACUUUGCAGUUUCAUCUAACAGCAGCCUCCAAUCUACGGGAUAGCCUGGUGUUAAUCCAACUCUCCCAUUCCACAGAUGGAGCUACAGAGGCCCAGGAUAGGGAGAAAGAACUCACCCAGGCUCCUGCAAAGAAAUAGAACAGAGUUGGGUUGCAACCCUUUUCACAGAAUCCUCAAAAUAGAGUUCUUCAUCCCCCCAAGGUAAGGGCAGAAAAAAAUGGAAGGCAGGUCUGACUACUCAUGUCCUUUGAGAGGAAGUCGCCUGGGCCCCCUCUGGGACCUCUGACCAAGGGGAUCCAUUUAA
rnacentral:lncRNA from 1 species